AGACAAAACCCCACCCUCGGGGUUAGAGGACGCAGUGGGGAGAAAGGGCGUGGGUGGGGUGGGGUCGUCCCCACUCUGGAUGCUCUGACCAGGUCGACCUGAAGCCUGGGGACCCUGGCUGCAAGUUCGAGAUUCUCCUUCUCCGUGUGGUCCUGGCAACUCCCCACUCUCAACCAUUAAGUUUUUUCUGUGUAACAUGACUGAGGUUUCAGAAGACAGGAUCUAGAAGUUUCUGCGGCUCAGCCUGGGAUUUUAGAUGCAGAGUGGCCUGGGAGGUGGGGUGCUAUGCGCCAUCACCCCAUUGAAUAGAUGGAGAGAGCCAGGCGCCGAAUGGGUCACAUUGCGAGUUGGGGACCAAGAAGAUUACUGCGGGAUGUCAGAAAUGGGCAGAAAUACUGUGCUGUCAGACCCUGGAGGAAUCCAGAAAAUUCUUAAGCCAGAGAAGACUUCGGGAGACCAUAGCGCCCACCCCCAUUUCACAGACGCGGCCACUGAGGCCCAGAAAAGAGAAGACACUUUGUUCAAGGCCACGCCCUAGGAACUAGAACCCAGAUCCUGAUCUGCCUUCACUCUGCCCCGGCUGUCUGCCCCACGCCAUCCCUGGGCCUUGGGGUGGGGUCCCCAUACUCACACAAGCCAUGACUGAGGAGACAAGGAUGUUCCUACAACUGCAGCACCAGCUGUCCGAAGACUCUACCGGAGAGAAGGGCCGCCGGCCUCUCCCACCCUUUUAACUGGACCAGACCCCGGUGAGUCCCGCCCCCUGGGGGCUCAGCCAAUUGUAAGUCAGGACAGGGAUGGGGGCCACGGGGAGGUGGAGUCAAUGGAAUUUUGAAGCCUGUUCUGGAGCAGAGGUGACCAAUCAGAGUGGAGACCCCCCCCCAAUUCCUUCCCAGCCACUCCCCCAGGAUCAAGACUCCACCUCCCAUUUUGCUUCAUCCUUCCCUACCCGCACCCCCGCCAAAUUGUGCUGUGGCAGGGAUUGGGGGAAACCAGUGGAAAAUAGUUUGAGGAUGAGCUAGACCCAAGCGUUGGUGGGAAGAGAGCCAGGGGCAGCUGCCUGAGUUCAGGGGGUACUAAGAGAAGGUGGCCGAGGGGGUGCAGGGUCCUUCAAAGAAUUAGUUCUGGGGUUUGCAAGGCUGCUCCCUGGAAGGAGCCAGGGCGUGGCCGGCUGUUGGGGGGGGCAAUCUCUGCGGAGGGCCCAGAACCAUUAACCACAGAGCCCCGGCCCCGCCCGGGCCUCCCCCGGAAGCAGGGAUUACUGCUGCUGCUCGUGCUCCUCACAAGGGCUAAAGAAAGACUGGGCUGGUGCCAGGCCUGAGGCUGCCGCCCAGGCUCAGGGCUCAGACCUCAGGCUUGGAGCCUCCCGAGGGGCCUGCAGGGGAUCCUCCAGGGGCCUCCGCCUGACAGCUUCUGGCCUCUAAGAGGAUAAGCCCUGGGAGGGCCCAGGGUGAGCCAGGCCAUGAGGGGUUGGGGUCCCUGGGCUGUGCACCCCCGUCCGCUCUCCUCACAUCUCUCCCUCUGACACCAGGCACAGCCUUUCCUUUCUCCAUCCAGUCAGCAGAUGCUUUACUGAUCCCUACUGCUCCUCGGUCCUUGCUCUCAGUGGCCCACCGUUGGGGCAGAAUCUCACCAUGAACCUGAGAAGUAGCAUGACGCUGGUUCUGAGCAAAGUGGUGAGAUGCUCCAGAACAGGAAGAAGGUGGGUCUCGAAGGAUGGACAAUGGAGCAGGGACUGGCAUUGCAGCAUGGGCCAAAGCUCAGAAAUGACAAAGCACACAUCUGGGGAACAGUGAGCAUGUGGGCAUGGCUGGAGUUUAGGGUGUGCUGGGGAAGAUGGGGCACGAGGCUGGGAGGCCAACUGGAUCAUGAAGGGCCUCACUGAAGGACUGGGGCAUUGUUUUGUCCCAAGGCACUAGGGAGCCACAGAAGGUUAUAGAGAGGGUGAAUACUGAGGCCAGAUUUAGGCUGCAGGAAAAUCGCCAUAGCACCAGAGGUGAGGGUGGAUCGGAGAGGGACUCACCUCAUCCUCAGAAAGCAGGUAGAGAGAGGGGCGUGGGGAGCCCUGGGCAAGGUGGGGGCUUGCUAAAGGAGUUACCCGUGGGGCCUCCUUCUGCAUAUCACCAUCCCCCUUCCGAAAUUGCCAGCACUGAACAAGGAGGAAGAUGCAGACCAGAAAUGACUCACAUCUGGAGGGCAGGCCAGCAAAUCCACCCUGCCCCGCGCGCCUCCACAGCCCGGCCUUGUCUCCCUCAUCUUCCUCCAGGUGGCC